CGUCUGGCGCCAGCCGCGGCCCGGGAAAUCUACGUCGCCGGAAAAGCGGCUGCAAACGCUCGCGUGUCGGGUGCGCCAGUCUCGCAGCGUAGGGCACUGGUUCUCCCACGCCUGAGACCGACGUCGCCAGGACUGUGGGGUCGGGGAGACUCGGCUGGAAACGUCUUCCAAAUAAAGUUGUUUGUCUAA